CUUUGCUUUCAAAUAUUUCCCUUUUCCUGAUGAAGUUAAGUGCAGAUAGAGGUACAGAGUUCCGAUGUCUACUCCAUUUGCACAUAUUAUAUAUAUCCAAGAUACAAGGGCAAUAACUUAAUCAAAGUGCUUGUAAGUACUGAAGGGUAAAGACUGCUUUGAUAUAUCAGUGAGAAGUAAUAAAAUUAACGGUAUCAAUUUUCUUGCACCAGAUGCAAAUUUCGACAAUACAUGUCUGUGGC
rnacentral:lncRNA from 1 species